GGGGAUGUAGCUCAGCUGGGAGAGCGCUGCGUUCGCAACGCAGAGGUCGGCGGUUCGAGCCCGCUCAUCUCCACCA
rnacentral:tRNA from 6 species